CCUACGGGUGGCUGCAGUGGGGAAUAUUGGGCAAUGGGCGCAAGCCUGACCCAGCAACGCCGCGUGAAGGAAGAAGGCUUUCGGGUUGUAAACUUCCUUUUAGAGGGAAGUGCAGAAGACGGUACCUCUUGAAUAAGCCACGGCUAACUACGUGCCAGCAGCCGCGGUAAUACGUAGGUGGCCAGUGUUGUCCAGAGUUACUGGGUGUAAAGGGCGUGUAGCCGGGAAGACAAGUCAGAUGUGAAAUCCCGCGGCGCAACCGCGGAAGUGCAUUUGAAACUGUUUUUCUUGAGUACCGGAGAGGUCAUCGGAAUUCGUGGUGUAGCGGUGAAAUGCGUAGAUAUAAGGAAGAACACCGGUGGCGAAGGCGGAUGACUGGACGGCAACUGACGGUGAGGCGCGAAAGCGUGGGGAGCAAACAGGAUUAGAUACCCCUGUAGUC
rnacentral:rRNA from 1 species